rnacentral:lncRNA from 1 species
GCUCUGAUGCAAGCAAAGUUAAUCUGACUCCUCACUCUGAGUGCCUUCCAUCACACCAUGCUGCUCCUCUAUGAUCCAGAUAUUUGUUCCACCUUCUGCAAAUAUUCACUCAGUGCCUACCAUCCAUAGGCAUUUUAUGGGCAUCACCAUUCAUCUGGUCACCUAAGAUAGAAACUUUUGUAUUAGCCUAACUCCAUCAUCUGCUCCAUCAUGCACAUUCAAUUGAAUGAUCAGUUCUAUACAUUUUAUCUUGAUGUGUUUCUCCACUUCAUCCCCUCCACUUUGUACCCUACACUGUUGGCUUAUUCAUCUCUCACCUGGAAUAACACAGUCUUGUUCUCUGGCCUACUCAAUUCCAGCUUAUUCCCACUUCUCUUUCCUACCCAUGUAUCCUUCUUACCAUCAAAAAGUAAUACUGCAGAUCUCCACAUGUCUCUCCCUUGCUUAACAAACCUCAGUGGCUCCCCAUUUCCUGCACCAUAAGGUGCAGUCUCCUUAGCAUGGCCCAUAAAAACUUGAAAAGCAUACAAGCCCAUCUUUCUGGUCACUUUACAUCCUGGCCACUUACGAACCUGUGAGCUACCCACAACUUAUUAGUGCCUGUAUCCUUAGCACCCUGUCACUCUUGUGCCUCUGUGCCUUGGUUCAUGCUGUUCUUUUAAAUUGUGGUGCUCUUCCCCAGCUCCCAGGUCAGAUAGAUAUCUCUUAUCUGACACAUUCACUGAUAUCACCGCCACUAUUCCUCCUCCAUGGGGGAAAGUAACUCUCUCAAUCAGAGUGCGCAUACUUCUAUUCUGGCAUAUGCACACUCACAUUCUACAAUAGUGUUUUUAUAUUUCUAUCCCUCACUAGACUGUAGUCUCUUCAGUGGCAGGGGUCACUCUAGGUACCUUAGAAUUUGCGGCACAUACGCAGCACAGAGCCCAGCAUGAGGAGGUGCUAAAUGUGUGGCUGAAUAUUUGAAUUAGUAAAGGAAAGAAUCUCAGACUUAUAUCCCACUCAGGGUGCUUUCACUACAUCUUGAUCACUUCAAGACAGAAAAAAACAACAAAAGCAAACAAGCAAAAAAAAAAAAAGAAAAAAAGCAAGAAAAAAGCUAGCAAAAGCAAUCAGAGAGGGAAUCCUAUAUACACCCCACCUUCUUCCUAAACCCCUGUGGCUAGGAAACAAUUGCCACACUGGGAACCAGUGGUGUUGAAAUCAGCAAUAGUGGAAGAAUUUACAUUAUGGAAAUUAGCAAAUCGUGCAAAUAAUAUUCGGGGGAAGGGAGAUUUGUUGUUGUUUCCAUUUAAAAUUGUACAAUUCAGUGGUUUCCUAAUAUAUUCAUUAGGUUAUGCAACUACCACCAUCAAAUUUCAGAACAUUUUCAUCACACCAAAAAGAAACACAGUCAUUAGCAGUCACUCCUCAUAACUCCCCACCCCAGCCCCUGGCAGUGUUUCUUGUUUUUUGAGAGCUGGUUGUUAAACAUUUACAGCACACCACUGCUGGGAAUGCAGCUAUUUCUAUAAUAACAGUUACUUUUCUCUUCCUCACUUAAUGUUUUGAUUCUUCAAGAAUCUUGAGGCCUCCUAAACCUCAAAGGUUUGUAACACAAAGAUGAUUUAUCUUUAAAAGAAGUUAUUUCAACUCUCACUUAAUUCAAUUUAUCUGUCACAGAAUGAGAUGAAAAAUUGUUAUGCAUAGAGAGGAAAAUCAGAAACUAAUAAAUCUUUAAAAAGGCUAGAUCACUUUCUGCUGGAUUAGUAUGUGGGAUUUACUUUUGCAUGAGACAAUGGGCUCUUGUCUAUUUUUAGCGUAGAUAAUGCAUUUCCUAGGACCCACAGGAGGCCUUGGCUUCUCCUAUUACUGAACACACAUGCAGAGACCAGAGAUUUUGUGAAAGAGAAAAAGAAAAAAGACAAGGGGAAAGGAUUGGUGGUUUGCUCUUUUGAUCACUAAUGCAACUCCAUCAGGAAAGAUGAAAUAUAAUGCCCAAGAAUUUCCUAAAAGAAAUUCACUAGAAAUGCACAAAAAUACACUUGUUUCAAAAGAUGUACAUACAUCCCCAUAUGCAUGUGAAGGCACUUGCACCAUGAAGUCAUUUGUUAAUCUCCUAAUGACCCAAUGACCCUAGAACAGUUCCCUAGAUGUGGGCUCCCAGACACCAGAUGCACAUUACUCAUCUAAUUAAUGCUGCUGAUGAACUUGUUUCAAAAUCUUUUAUAUUUGUAAGCAGGAAAGGUUGGGCUGUCCUCUAAGAUAGCAUAAACCAAAAAUAAAAUUCUGAGCCCUGUAACCGUCUGAAUGGACCCUUCCUUUUGGCCAAGAGCAUUCCAAAGUCAACCUGAAAAACUAGUUCUGUUCAUGAUGGGAAGAGGGGGUGGGACAUGCCUUAUUACCAUUAACGUCAACACAGACCUUGAGACUGAUAGAACAGACUCUAAGUCUGGUAAAUAUUUACAAGCUAUCCUCUCUGAAGCCUGCUACCCUGAAGCUUCAUCUGCAUGGUAAAACCUUGGUCUUCAUAAUCCCUUACCUUAACCUAAACAUUCUUUUCUAUUGAUUCCGGGUCUGUAGAUAAUAACCAAUCGCCAAUCAGAAAAUCUUCGAAUGCAUCUAUGACCUGGAAGCCCCUGACUUCCAGUUGUCCCACCUUUCCUGACCAAGCCAAUGUACAUCUUACAUGUAUUGAUUGAUGUCUUAUGUCUCUCUAAAACAUAUAAAAAACAUAUAAAUGCAAGAUGCAGCCUGACCACCUUGGGCACAUGUGUCAUCAGGACCUCCUGAGGCUGUGUCAUAGGCAUGUCCUUAACCUUGGCAAAAUAAACUUUUAAAUUGAUCAAGACUUAUCAAGACUUAUCUUUUGGUUUAUGAUCAAGACUUUUUGGUUUAUGUAGGGACUCCAUCUUUUUUUUUUUUUUUUUU